AUGGUACAACAGAAAGCCAGAGAAAUGGCAAAACAUUUGCAUGUGUUAUGUGUAAUCACCUGUACUAGAAUUAGAACAGAGGACAACUUUUACACUACAGUACUAGCAGGUGAUCACAAUCUUCUUCUUCUAAUUCUUGGACUUUGGUGGUGGUUUAGGCUUCUUGUUGGUUUUGAAAAGAGAAGAAAGGAAUUGGACUAA
rnacentral:lncRNA from 1 species